rnacentral:rRNA from 1 species
AAUCUUACGCAAUGGUCGAAAGCCUGACGCAGCAAUGCCGCGUGUAUGAUGAAGGUCUUAGGAUUGUAAAAUUCUUUCACCGGGGACGAUAAUGACGGUACCCGUAGAAGAAGCCCCGGCUACCUUCGUGCCAGCAGCCGCGGUAAUACGAAGGGGGCUAGCGUUGCUCGGAAUUACUGUGCGUAAAGGGCGCGUAGGCGGACAUUUAAGUCAGGGGUGAAAUCCCAGUGCUAAACUCUGGAACUGCCUUUGAUUCUGGGUGUCUUGAGUGUGAGAGAGGUAUGUGGAACUCCGAGUGUAGAGGUGAAAUUCGUAGAUAUUCGGAAGAACACCAGUGGCGAAGGCGACAUACUGGCUCAUUACUGACGCUGAGGCGCGAAAGCGUGGGGAGCAAACAG